CCGAGUUUACAACUCCCAAACCCCUGUGAACAUACCUAUAUGUUGCCUCGGCGGAUCAGCCCGCGCCCCGUAAAACGGGACGGCCCGCCGCAGGAUCCACAAACUCUGCUUUUAUUGUAACUUCUGAGUAACAAAACAAAUAAAUCA
rnacentral:misc_RNA from 1 species